rnacentral:rRNA from 1 species
CCCUUAGAUGUUCUGGGCCGCACACGCGCUACACUGAAGGAGGCAGCGUGUACUCCUGGAUCGAAAGAUUUGGGUAACCCGCGAAUCUCCUUCGUGCUAGGGAUUGAGGUUUGCAAUUAUCCUUCAUGAACGAGGAAUUCCCAGUAAGUGCAAGUCAUAAGCUUGCGCUGACUACGUCCCUGCCCUUUGUACACACCGCCCGUCGCUACUACCGAUUGAAUGAUUUAGUGAGGACUUCGGACUGGGACCGAUGCGGCUUUCGGGCAGCGUCGGUAUUCUGGAAAGAUGUCCAAACUGUAUCAUUUAGAGGAAGUAAAAGUCGUAACA